AAACUUCUUUUUCUUCGCUUUAUUGCGGGUUGCAACCAUAAUAUGACCUAAAACUUAAUCGCAAUUCAUUAUUUAUUCGGCAAACAACGUUUCCAUCAACGUUUAUUGCGUAAGCCGUAUAUCGAUCGAGAUAAAAUCCGAUGAGACCAAAUGUAUUUCCUUUUGAGACGAUAUUCAUGAAAUUCCA